rfam:Oryza sativa Japonica Group DNA, chromosome 5, cultivar: Nipponbare, complete sequence.
AAAAAGGCAAACCGUGGGUUUCCGUGCCAACGUUUUGAUUAUCCGUCUUAUAUGAAAAAUUUUUAUAAUUAGUAUUUUCAUUGUUGUUAGAUGAUAAAACAUAAUUAAUAUUUUAUGCGUGACUUAUCUUUUUAAUUUUUUUUUAUAAUUUUUUCAAAUAAGACAGACUGUCAAACGUUGGAUACGGAAACUAGGGUUUGUCUUUUU